rnacentral:rRNA from 1 species
GAUGAACGCUGGCGGCGUGCCUAAUACAUGCAAGUCGAGCGAACAGAUGAGGAGCUUGCUCCUUUGACGUUAGCGGCGGACGGGUGAGUAACACGUGGGUAACCUACCUAUAAGACUGGGAUAACUUCGGGAAACCGGAGCUAAUACCGGAUAAUAUUUUGAACCGCAUGGUUCUAUAGUGAAAGACGGUUUUGCUAUCACUUAUAGAUGGACCCGCGCCGCAUUAGCUAGUUGGUAAGGUAACGGCUUACCAAGGCAACGAUGCGUAGCCGACCUGAGAGGGUGAUCGGCCACACUGGAACUGAGACACGGUCCAGACUCCUACGGGAGGCAGCAGUAGGGAAUCUUCCGCAAUGGGCGAAAGCUUGACGGAGCAACGCCGCGUGAGUGAUGAAGGGUUUCGGAUCGUAAAACUCUGUUAUUAGGGAAGAACAAAUGUGUAAGUAACUAUGCACGUCUUGACGGUACCUAAUCAGAAAGCCACGGCUAACUACGUG